GACGAACGCUGGCGGCGUGCUUAACACAUGCAAGUCGAACGAAGAGGCCCUGCUUUUGUGGGGUGCUCGAGUGGCGAACGGGUGAGUAACACGUGAGUAACCUGCCCUUGACUUUGGGAUAACUUCAGGAAACUGGGGCUAAUACCGGAUAGGAGCUCCUGCUGCAUGGUGGGGGUUGGAAAGUUUCGGCGGUUGGGGAUGGACUCGCGGCUUAUCAGCUUGUUGGUGGGGUAGUGGCUUACCAAGGCUUUGACGGGUAGCCGGCCUGAGAGGGUGACCGGCCACAUUGGGACUGAGAUACGGCCCAGACUCCUACGGGAGGCAGCAGUGGGGAAUAUUGCACAAUGGGCGGAAGCCUGAUGCAGCAACGCCGCGUGCGGGAUGACGGCCUUCGGGUUGUAAACCGCUUUCGCCUGUGACGAAGCGUGAGUGACGGUAAUGGGUAAAGAAGCACCGGCUAACUACGUG
rnacentral:rRNA from 1 species